rnacentral:rRNA from 1 species
CCUACGGGGGGCAGCAGUGAGGAAUAUUGGGCAAUGGAGGCAACUCUGACCCAGCCAUGCCGCGUGAGUGAAGAAGGUUUUCGGAUUGUAAAGCUCUUUCGGAUGUGACGAUGAUGACGGUAGCAUCUAAAGAAGCCCCGGCUAACUACGUGCCAGCAGCCGCGGUAAUACGUAGGGGGCAAGCGUUAUCCGGAUUUACUGGGUGUAAAGGGAGCGUAGACGGCAGCACAAGUCUGGAGUGAAAUGCCGGGGCUUAACCCCGGAACUGCUUUGGAAACUGUGCAGCUAGAGUGCAGGAGAGGUAAGUGGAAUUCCUAGUGUAGCGGUGAAAUGCGUAGAUAUUAGGAGGAACACCAGUGGCGAAGGCGGCUUACUGGACUGUAACUGACGUUGAGGCUCGAAAGCGUGGGGAGCAAACAGGAUUAGAUACCCUGGUAGUC